rnacentral:rRNA from 1 species
AGGAUAAACGCUGGCGGCGUGCCUAACACAUGCAAGUCGAACGUCCUUGCGGUCUUCUUCUUCGGAGGAGGACCGCGAGGGAGUGGCGGACGGGUGAGUAACACAUGGGUACCUGCCUUUCAGUGAGGAAUACCGGCGAGAAAUCGCCGACAAGACCGCAUAGGCUUCCUUCGGUAGCCCGAGGGAAGCAAAGUUACUUCGCGAGAGGUGACGCUGGAAGAGGGGCCUGUGGCCGAUUAGCUAGUUGGGGGGUAACGGCCUCCCAAGGCGACGAUCGGUAGCUGGUCUGAGAGGACGAUCAGCCACACUGGGAUUGAGAACGGCCCAGACUCCUACGGGGGGCAGCAGUGAGGAAUUUUCCGCAAUGGACGAAGUCUGACGGAGCAACGCCGCGUGCAGGAGGAAGGUUUUCGGAUCGUAAACUGCUUUUUCUCGGGGACGAGCAAGGACGGUACCCGAGGAAGAAGCCCCGGCUAACUACGUGCCAGCAGCCGCGGUAA